GAUGAACGCUAGCGGCAGGCUUAAUACAUGCAAGUCGAGGGGUAGCAAGAUUGUAGCAAUACAAUUGUUGACGACCGGCAAACGGGUGCGGGACACGUACACAACCUUCCUACAAGUGGGGAAUAGCCCAGAGAAAUUUGGAUUAAUACCCCGUAACAUAGCGAUGUGGCAUCACAUUGCUAUUAUAGCUUCGGCGCUUGUUGAUGGGUGUGCGGCUGAUUAGAUAGUUGGCGGGGUAACGGCCCACCAAGUCUACGAUCAGUAGCUGAUGUGAGAGCAUGAUCAGCCACACGGGCACUGAGACACGGGCCCGACUCCUACGGGAGGCAGCAGUAAGGAAUAUUGGACAAUGGACGCAAGUCUGAUCCAGCCAUGCCGCGCGAAGGAUUAAGGUCCUCUGGAUUGUAAACUUCUUUUAUAAGGGACGAAAAAAGGUCUUUCUAGAUCGUCUGACGGUACCUUAUGAAUAAGCACCGGCUAACUCCGUGCCAGCCGCCGCGGUAAAAC
rnacentral:rRNA from 1 species